rnacentral:rRNA from 1 species
GCUUGGGAACUUGCCUUUGCGAGGGGGAUAACAGUUGGAAACGACUGCUAAUACCGCAUAAUGUCUACGGACCAAACGGGGCUUAGGCUUCGGCGCAGAGAGAGGCCCAAGUGAGAUUAGCUAGUUGGUGGGGUAAAGGCUCACCAAGGCGACGAUCUCUAGCUGUUCUGAGAGGAAGAUCAGCCACACUGGGACUGAGACACGGCCCAGACUCCUACGGGAGGCAGCAGUGGGGAAUAUUGCACAAUGGGGGGAACCCUGAUGCAGCCAUGCCGCGUGUGUGAAGAAGGCCUUCGGGUUGUAAAGCACUUUCAGUUGUGAGGAAAAGUGAGUAGUUAAUACCUGCUCACCGUGACGUUAACAACAGAAGAAGCACCGGCUAACUCCGUGCCAGCAGCCGCGGUAAUACGGAGGGUGCGAGCGUUAAUCGGAAUUACUGGGCGUAAAGCGCACGCAGGCGGUUUGUUAAGCUAGAUGUGAAAGCCCCGAGCUCAACUUGGGAUGGUCAUUUAGAACUGGCAGACUAGAGUCUUGGAGAGGGGAGUGGAAUUCCAGGUGUAGCGGUGAAAUGCGUAGAUAUCUGGAGGAACAUCAGUGGCGAAGGCGACUCCCUGGCCAAAGACUGACGCUCAUGUGCGAAAGUGUGGGUAGCGAACAGGAUUAGAUACCCUGGUAGUCCACACCGUAAACGCUGUCUACUAGCUGUUUGUGGCUUUAAGCCGUGAGUAGCG